ACCGCUUCUCGGCCUUUUGGCUGAGAUCAAGUGUAGUAUCAAAUCUUAUGCUUAUAAAAUGUGAGUUCUAUACCAAGUUUAGAGUAUUAUUUCCUGUUAAAGCAGGUGUUCACUUUUAUAAAGAAAUAAUUUAAGCAUCUAGAAGGUAUUUAUGAGUUAUAAUUUCAUGGAUGCCUAUAUUUA